rnacentral:rRNA from 1 species
CCUGGUUGAUUCUGCCAGUAGUCAUAUGCUUGUCUCAAAGAUUAAGCCAUGCAUGUCUAAGUAUAAGCAAUUCAUACAGCGAAACUGCGAAUGGCUCAUUAUAUAAGUUAUCGUUUAUUUGAUAGUACCUUACUACUUGGAUAACCGUGGUAAUUCUAGAGCUAAUACAUGCUAAAAAUCCCAACUUCGGAAGGGAUGUAUUUAUUAGAUUAAAAACCAAUGCCCUUCGGGGCUCCUUGGUGAUUCAUGAUAACUCUUCGAAUCGCAUGGCCUUGUGCCGGCGAUGGUUCAUUCAAAUUUCUUCCCUAUCAACUUUCGAUGUUUGGGUAUUGGCCAAACAUGGUUGCAACGGGUAACGGAGGGUUAGGGCUCGACCCCGGAGAAGGAGCCUGAGAAACGGCUACUACAUCCAAGGAAGGCAGCAGGCGCGCAAAUUACCCAAUCCCGACACGGGGAGGUAGUGACAAUAAAUACUGAUACAGGGCUCUUUUGGGUCUUGUAAUUGGAAUGAGUACAAUUUAAAUCCCUUAACGAGGAACAAUUGGAGGGCAAGUCUGGUGCCAGCAGCCGCGGUAAUUCCAGCUCCAAUAGCGUAUAUUAAAGUUGUUGUGGUUAAAAAGCUCGUAGUUGAACCUUGGGCCUGGCUGGCCGGUCCGCCUCACCGCGUGUACUGGUCCGGCCGGGCCUUUCCCUCUGUGGAACCCCAUGCCCUUCACUGGGUGUGGCGGGGAAACAGGACUUUUACUUUGAAAAAAUUAGAGUGCUCCAGGCAGGCCUAUGCUCGAAUACAUUAGCAUGGAAUAAUAGAAUAGGACGUGUGGUUCUAUUUUGUUGGUUUCUAGGACCGCCGUAAUGAUUAAUAGGGACAGUCGGGGGCAUCAGUAUUCAAUUGUCAGAGGUGAAAUUCUUGGAUUUAUUGAAGACUAACUACUGCGAAAGCAUUUGCCAAGGAUGUUUUCAUUAAUCAGGAACGAAAGUUAGGGGAUCGAAGACGAUCAGAUACCGUCGUAGUCUUAACCAUAAACUAUGCCGACUAGGGAUCGGACGAUGUUAUUUUUUGACUCGUUCGG